CCCCCGCCCCGGGCAGGGGGGGCCGAGGAGGAGAUGGGCGGGCGGCGGCGGGUGCCCGUCGGCGGAAGAGCGCCCUGAAGGGGCCCAGGCAGGCCAGCCGGAGGGAGGGUGGUUGUGAGGAGGAGACCCCGCGCCGAGUCUGGCCCGCUCGCGACGAGGAAGAGCAGGAGCCCCGUCAUGUUGGAGCACCAAAGAAACCGAGGCGGCGGCGGCGGCGGCGGCCCGGAAGAGAGUCUAUGCAAGCGCAGCGGGCAGACGGCCAGGGCCGGGCGAGGCCGCGAGGGGGGCAUCAUCCGAUGUGGGCAGUGACCAAGACACGCCGGGAGAGCGGCCGCCGCAGACCCCGCUCGGAAGGAGAUGCCUGUCCAUGUGGAGAUGCUCCAUAGAAGCGGGGGCGGGGGCGCAUCUCGCCUUACCGGAGGGAGCCGCCGGCUGCUGCCCUCCCGCGCCUGCCUGAGCUCGUUGGCAGCCGGCUGGUGGCUUGGCGGGCGGCCUGCCUGCCUGCCUCCUCUCUGGGCCCGCCCGGCGGCUGAAUGGCAAGUCGGGUCGGCGUGGGGGCGCACAGCCCGGCGGGGCCCUGAGCGGCGGGGCGGGGGCAGGCAGGGACUGGGGGCUUGUUCCGCGCCAGGUCGCUUGGGGGCUGCCGCGCUUCUCAGCAGCAGCCGACUGGGGGUGAGGAGCAGCCUAAGCCAUAGGGCAGAGAAGGGGCACGCCUGCGGGCAGCGUGAUGGGGAGACCCGGGGAGGACGCUCAGAGCCCGCUGGACUUUGGUGACUCUCCACGGGGAGGGAGCUCUAGGCGUGGGGGGCUGCUGGUGGUGAGGGCCCCUCGGGGAAGCUCUCUGGACGGACACGAGACAUGCAGAGCCUUCCAUUUGCACCACAACAUAAGUUUGGUGCACUUUUGGGGCGGAGUGAGUGUGUGUGUGUGGUGGGAACAUAGGAAGCUGCCAUAUACCGAGUCAGACCAUUGGCCUACUCUAUCUAGCUCAGUAUUGUCUACCCAGAUUGGCAGCGUCUUCUCCAAGGUGGCAGGCAGGGAUCUCUCUCGGCCCUGUCUUGGAGAGGCUGCCAGGGAGGGGACUGGGAACCUCCUAGAUGCUCUUCCCAGAGCAACUCCAUCCCCUGAGGGGAAUAUCUCCCAGUGCGGCUCACACUUCUAGUCUCCCAUUCAUUUGUAACCAGGGCAGACCCGGCUUAGCUAAGGGGACAAGGCAUGCUUGCUGCCACAAGACCCCCUGUCCUCUCAGGGGGACAGAUGUCUGUUCUGGUCCUGAUCUGAAUCUGUCUCCGAUACUGGAGAGCCAAACCCAGUCCCAAACAUAGAAGCUCUUCUUCGGGAAGAUUCCGUCUCUAGAGAGAAGGGUCCCAGAGCAUGGCCCUCCUACAAAUAGUUUUCAUACAAGGAGACCCCUUUCGGACUGCUGAGUCUUUACUUUUUAGCAGGAAGCUGCAAGCAGAAUUAAGCAGAAUUAAAAUAGUGGUUAUGUGUGGUAUUUUAUAUAGCCAAAUAUUAUCCAGCAAUGGCUACAAGAUCCUUCUAUAAUGUUUACUCACAAGUAAGUCCAUAAAUGUUGUUCAGUAAAGAUUUUAUUAAUUAUAAACCUCUUCCUGGCAGAUCACAUCCCUUUUAUUGCUUCCUGUGCCGUGCAGCUGAGAAUGGAGAGGUUAAAAAUAAGUUUGCCCCUCAAUUGCCCCUUAAUAAGUCAGCUUCUGUUUCUUGGUGGGGGUAAGCUGGUUUCUUUUCAUUAUUUUAUUUUAUUAUACCAAAAUAAUAAUCCUAUUCAUGCAGAGCAGACAGGAAUAAAAGGAGCUAGAAACAGUGUCCACAGGGGACAAGUCAUGGGAGCAUUGUCAGGAUUCUCAGGAACACAUGAGUGUACAAACCGCUAGCAUGGAAGGAACUUUAUAUGCAGGCUUUAUACACGUUUAUUCCCAAUGGCAUCCCCUCACCCUCUCCAAAGAAUUCCUGGGAAUUAUAAUUUGGUGAAGGGGAUUUCCUCAGAGAGAUGUCUAGCCUGCUCCUCCCCCCCUCUGCAGAAUUACAGUUCCCUGGGGAGGGAGGAUGGCUGUUUAAACCAGUCUGUUAUAGUCUACACCCUCAGGGUGUCAAACACAUCAGGCUUUCUGAAUGGAAAGGCUUAACAUGUUUGGGUUAUAAUUCUGCCCCAACAAAUGCCAACGACUGAUGGCAGAAGUUGUCACCCAGUGCUCCUGGGAACCCUGGGACCAACCCUGACCAAACUUACCCUGAUCAUGUGGGGUAAGUUUGGUCAGGUUAUAGUCCUGGGGGAUGGGGAGGCUUUUUAAAUUAUUAUUAAGUGGGGAGCCCCUCGGCCUAGGAAACGUGGCCAUUUAAUCAGACUCCAAGAGCUGAAAUGAAUUUGGGGGAUGGAUAUCAUUUGUUAAGCAAAUGCUCCUAACUUAAAUGUAUUUGCAAAAAUCUGAUCCCCCUCCCCGCAGUUAAAUGCCCCCAUCCUGCAAUAUGUUUAAUUUAUGAAUAUUGUGGAUAUAAGAGUUUGGAAAGAGGCAGAAACAAACAGUGUGAAAUUCUGAAUCUGGUUGUGUGAUACUUAAUCCGCAACUAAAUUUUCAAUUAAAAAAGAAAAAAUCACGAAAGCCCAAAACCUGGGACUGGCUGUAUCUAACCCCAGCACAACACCCCUCCAAUGGCUGUUGCUGUGUCUACCUUACUUUAAAAAAAAAAAAAAAGAUUGUGAGCCCUUUGGAUUCCAUCUUAUUUAUUAAUUAUUUUUCUAUGUAUACCACUUUGGAAACUGUUGAAAAGUGGUAUAUAAGUAGUAGUAAGAACAUAGGAAGCUGCCAUAUAGUGAGUCAGACCAUUGGUCUAUCUAGCUCAGUAUUGUCUUCACAGACUGGCAGCAGCUUCUCCAAGGGUGCAGGCAGGCGUCUUUCUCAGCCCUUUCUUGGAGAUGCUGCCAGGGAGGGAACCUUCUGCUCUUCCCAGAGCAGCUCCAUCCCCUGAGGGGAAGAUCUUCCAGUGCUCACACUUCUAAUCUCCCAUUCAUAUGCAACCAGGACAUGUUGCAUAUGAAUGUUUAGCAAUGAAACCAGGGCAUGUACCCAAACUGCUGGCCAGUUCUAAUGAACCAAUAUGUGGACUGCAGUUCGGUUCAAAUUCAAUUUUAAUUCAAACCGAACCACCAGAGACGGUUCUGUGCACACCCCUAGUUUGUGGAGCUGUUUUUUUAUUUUUUUAAGUAUUUUGCAGUUAAAGUAUAAAGUAUUUAAAGUAUUUAGCUUAGCUAAGAGGACAAGUCAGGCCUACUACACAAGACCCACUCUCCUCUCCUUGACCAGCUACUACAAGUAGUACUAGAUUUGAACAGGGUGCCUCCACUUGGCAGGUUUUAAUUUCGGUUCCAGUGGACCAAUAUUUCUUUCUCCUGUUCAGUGAUAUUAGUACACGAGAAUGCCCUGCUUCCUGGUGGGAAGCAAGAGGGGCGGGGGGGGGUCAUUGUGGUGCUUUGCCCCUUGCAUCCAUGAGCGUUGGGCCAAUCUCGUUUCUCACCAUUCACAGGAAGUGUUUAGCCAUGCAAAAUCUGCAUAACAAAUAUGAUGUGUUCUCACAAUCCUUUAAUUCUCACUUUAUUUUAAGUGCGGUCACAUUCCUUCUAGUUUUCGUGAGCAAAACACACAUGUAUGAGAAUGACUAAGUGUUGGUGCCUUGUUAAAUGAGAAGACCUGCUUAACAGCACUAUAAAAGAAAGAACAUAAAAUAUAAGAGAUAUGAGUUUUUGGCAGUAUCCAAAUUGCUAAAUAAAUCCGAGAAAACCAAGAAUUUAAGUCCCCCUUCAGCAACAGAAGUGGCAUAAUUAAGGGGCAAUUAAUCACAAAUCCCCCAUCCCACUGUGUUGAACUGGACACAAUAAAACAUGCUGAACCUGCCAACAGGAAGCUUUUGAUUAAAGGCACAGUAGUCCCAAAAAACUGUCCAGAACAAGCUGAAAUUGGGUUUGCAAUUUAUUGCAAAACACAUAGACAAAACAAAAUAAUCACAAUUAAGGUCUGAGCAAAUGCUGGAGGGCAACCCAGAAAACACGGGAAUGUAGCAAUUUAGCAAUGACUGUGUCAGGAUGCUGCAUAAAAAUUGAGUGAACAGGAGAUGGAAAUUCCAGAGGGAAAAGGAAGCACAGCAAUGCAGAUAGCUACAGAAAUGUUAAGAGGGGCCUUAACUUGGAGUGACCCAUAGAAAACAUGCCAGCUGUUGACCCACAGUCAAAUUCUUGCAGAGACCCAUUGGCCAGGGGUGGGAAGAUGGAACUUUGAAUUCAAUGUGCUUUGCACAGGCCUAACAAAAACAUCAACAUUGGAAUAUUCACAGUGUGGGGGGCUGGUGCGAUGUGACUGUGUCACUCACAGCCAUGAGCAACUUGAAAAAUGAUUUCAGUGUCUCCCACUUCAAUCCAAUGGAUGCUUACUUGGGAGGAAGUAAGUUAGUGGGGUUUACACCUGAGAAAACACCCAUGGGCAGUGCUGUGGAGAGGAUGGCCAACUUGUAGCAGCCCACCAAGAGAACAAAGGUUCAGACCUGGGUCUCCUCCAUCCACGGCUUAUCCACACUGGUGUGAAGGGUUUAAGGCAGGGCUGCUCAACUUUGGCUCUCCUACAGAUGUUGGCCUACAACUCCCAUAAUCCCUGUUUAUUGGCCACCGUGCCUGGGGAUUAUGGGAGUUGUAGUCCAAAAACAGCGGGGGGGCCUGUGUUGAACAGGCCUGAUUUAGGGUCUGUUUCAAUCCCUACUAGAGUUUAUGACAAACUGGAGAGCACGGCUGCCAGGGAAGUGGGAUGUGGGGGGACAGAGAGGCAAGGCCCCAUCAUUGUUCUGCCACAGAGGAGGGCGAGGGCGAGCUGGUGGGGCUGCGUCCCUCCCCAGAGGCAUCUGCAACGCCUUGCAUCAAAACGAGACAGAGGGCAUGUGUGGGUCAGCAUUGAUCUGGCCUCCCAUGCAUAUUCAUGGCUGCUGCUGGUGCCCAAAUGCUGACUCCAGGAAAAGGGGAUGGUGUCGGAUCAGGCUUUGAUCCCUGCUUAAAAAUCAAUGUGGAAGGAGAAUAGAUGAUGAACAAGACCCAUUUCCCAUCAAUAGAACCUUUGGCCCGAGGAAGGGCACUCCGCCCACUGAAGAGAGAGCAGUGGACAGGGUCCAACCCGCUGGGAUCCCAAACAGGGAUCUUUGGAGAGAGGGUCCCCCACCCCCAUGAUUUUGCCUUGCCUGGGGUCUGCUAGAAGAUUGGGACGGGGAGGAGAGAAGUCCUUGGCGAGCAGUCCUUGCCUGACCCAAUCCCAAGAUGCAGCUACUUCUAGGGUGGAGAGAGUGACGGAGCCGGCAGGGGCUGGGGAGUUCGGGGACUGCGUGGCCCCCAGAAGCGCCAGUAUGCCCUGCGCGAGCGUGCAGGGCAUACUGGAGAGACCCCCGAGCUGGGAGGCUGAAAAGCAGCCUCCCGCUGGGGGUCUACUCAUGAGUAGCCGCGGCACAGAGCCACAGCACGGCUACUCAUGAUCCCCAAAAACGGGUUUGCGGAGCGCUCGCUCAGCGAACCCGGUUUAAGGAGCGGGCUACUUGAGCGGGUUACCUGCUCAGGCGCCACCCGACUUGCAGCCAAGCCCGGUGGUUCCCAUGGUGGGACGAAAUUGGGCUAGCGGAGGCUAGCCUGAUUUCGUCCCAUCAUGUGAAUAGCCUCUAAGUAUUGUGGUAGUGAGCAUGAACGGGGCCCUUUGCUAAGCAGGGAAUACCUUGGUUUGCAUUUGGAUGGGUUACAUGUGAGCACCGUAAGAUCUUCCCCUUAGGGGAUGGGCCCGUAGCUCUUGCUUUGCCUGCAGAAGGUCCCAGGUUCACGCCCUGGUAGCAUCUCCAAGAGAGGGCUGGGAGAGAGACUCCUGCCUGCACCCUUGGAGAAGCUGCUGCGGGUCUGGGUAGACAAUACUAAGCGAGAUGGACCAAGGGCCUGACUCAAUCGAAAGCCACUCCUGUGGCCCUAGGAAUGGCAGGAGAUGAGGAAUGGGUGUAUCUCUUGCUGGUGGGCUUCCUUCCCAAAUGCAUCGGGUGGGGAACAGGGUGCCAGACUCGAGAGGCCUUGGUGUUGCAGAGAGGGGCCCCCAGGUGCUGCCCCCUCCAGUCAGAGUGUGAACCGGCCACCCCUCCACCAGCCCGUGCUGCCCCCAUGCCAACCCCCCACCCGAAAACACCACCAUCCCUGCUUGCUCUCCCCCUCUCCCUCUGCUUGACAGCCUUUGCCAAGAGCUCCUUUUCUCUGGCUCAGCACUGCCCCACUUCUUCUGGCCCGGAGGCUCCAGCAAGACAGGCGGGGUGUGUGUGUGUGUGUGUGUGUGUGUGUGUGUGUGUGUGUAAUUAGCAGCUGCUUCUCACAUCUUGGCUGCUGUCACCCAUCUGCGCAGAUGAUGUCCCCCUCCCUCUCCCCCCUCCCUGGCCCCACCCAAUAUUCCUGCCCCCUCACACCUCCUAACGCUCCUCCUGUGUGGGGCAGCACUUGCUAAUUGGUCAGGUGGCGGCUAUGGCUAUUUCUGCUCUGGGUGCAGAAACCACCCGCCCGCCCCAGAUCACAGGGGAGAAAGCGCCCCGAGAGAGAGUGGGCAUUAAAGCACCCCCACUGGAUGGCUCUAGAGAGCAAGAGAGUGGGUGGGUGAGGGGCCAGGGCUCUGCCCCAAGGAGCUGACACUCUACAAUUGACACAGAGGAGAUAGCAGCGAGAGGAAAGGGAGGCGGAGACCAGGAUAAACGGGGGAAGAACAGAUCAUUUCACUCACCCAUCCGAGUUAGAAGUCAUGAGGACUAGGGGAUUGAGUCAUUCUGAAAUCAUUUUUCGAGCCUUCAGGGAAAAAGAAACCAUUGAGGAAGGGCUUGAAGGAGGAGAGGAGGUGUUCUGGGAGGGAGUUCCAGGGCUAAAGGGAAGCAGGAGAGGAAGGGGGCACUGUCUGAAAGACCAGGAGGCCUUCAGGGCAGGGCUGGCCCGUCUAUCAGGUGGUCCAGGGCACCAGUUUGGGGAGGAGGGCUCAGAAGUAGGGCCAGAAUAUAGCACUGCUGCCUGCUGUUCUUUCCCUCCCUCUUGAAUUGCACCCCGAAGUACUGCCCAGUGGGGUAAGAAUGUCAGAGGCAAGCCUGCACCCCGCUCCCCCAAGGGCCUGCGCAGUCUGCACCCCCAAAGACCACAGGCCAGCCCCCAAUAGUCUCAUCAGCUGCAUUCCCCCUCUUGAAGGUGAACGGCCUCUCUCUCGUUUCGGCAUUCAUUUCCGAAAAGAAAUGGCCUCCGACUGGAUUCCCAGAUUCACAGCUGCAUCUUUUCAUCUCUGAUGUGUUAGAGUUUUGCCCCCAUCAUAGUCUGGGGAACUCUCUCCCACUGGAUCCUCAAACCAGCACAAGCUAGUCAUUUGCAGGUCAUCCUCACUGGCUGGUCACUUCUCAGCUGGGAGCGCCAAUACCAAACUCCGCCAAGGGCGCCAAAGAGCCGAGGGCCCACCAUGUUUCAGGGCAGUAGCCUUGGAGGGACAAAGGUCACCCCUUUUGCAGGGGAGCAACUGCACAGAAGGGGGCCUGCCUUCAUCUCCUGAUUGUGGGCUUCCAGAGGCAUCUGGUGGGCCACUGGGGGAAGCAGGAGGCUGGACUAGAUGGGCUUCCUUGGGCCUGAUCCAGCAGGGCCGUGCUUAAUGCCUUGCAGCUUCUUGUACAGGUAGAUUGUAAUAGGCCAGAGAAGUUCCAUUUUCAGUUCUGGUUUCUUGAUCCUAAGCAGCAGAUUUCCAGGGCGAAUCUGUCUGCUCAAACAUCACGUGCUGCAGUGAGAGGGUGCAGAUGCUCCUGUGAGUUUUUUCCCUCCUGGUCACACUGCAUCAGGGUUUGUAGUCUUGAGGCUGGGGAAAUGUUUUGCAGUCCCCCUGCAAGUGUGUCUUGCCCCUGGGAACAAAAAUGGUUUGAAGGCAAUCUUGCAACGUUGCAGCAACACAGAGGGCUGAGCUCAUGCAAAUAACGGCAGCCAGGCAGAAAAGGGCUACAAUAUGGAGUGUGCAGCUGGGGUUGGCCUGAGAUGAUGAACAUCGUUUCAUGAAAACGCAGAUAUGGGGACAAUGCAUCACAGUUGUGUGUGCAGGUAUGACUCAGGAACAGAUCUGCUAAAAGCACUGGGCCGUUCACACAGGUGUGUAUACCAGGAGUUCUCAAUUGUGGGUCCCAGAUGUUGUAGGACUACAACUCCCAUCAUCCCCAGCCACAAUGCCUUAAAACAGACGGUGAUGGACAUUGUAGUACAGCAAUGUCUGGGGACCCAAAUCACAGUAACAUCACAGGACAGUUAGUCACGCAAUGCUUCAACACUGGAUGACCUGGAAGUGGAUAGGUCAACACACUCGACUGGAAAUCGCGGUGAGUUGAGCCACGUGAUAGGAAGUUUUGCCUGGGGUUUUGUGACUGGUGAUGAUGGCUCCUACACACACGUCAACAUAAUGCUGCAGCUAUGCCUGUGUGAAUAGGCCACAAUAGACUUUUGGGACGGCUGUCAAAGUUUUUGGAUGAGGAUUUAGGAGCAAGAGGACUGGAGUAUUUGACCCAACUUCUACAUCCGUGUUGGAAGGAAUGGCAAGGAAGCAGAUUGAGGCUAGACACUAGGAGGAUUUCCUGAGAGCAAGAGCUGUCGGGACAGUGGAACAGCCUGCCUCAUGAAGCAGUGGGCUCUCCUCCCCAGGGUGCUUUCCAGAUUACACCCUAUGAGAGUGUCACUACGUGUCCGCUAAGUGUGCUUCCGUAGUGCCUGUGUUUUGACAUCACGGUCCCUGCACUAUCAGCAAGGAGCCCUUCACAUUUCCGAUGCCUUCUUUCAGAUUGUAUCCUUGCGUUUGUCGUACAACGUUGCAUGUGCGUUGCAAAAAUAAAAGCUGUAUUUUCCCAUUGUAGGAGGGUUGUGCAAACUAUUUUACGUUUUCAAAACAAUCCUCCUGACAAGCCGAAGCAUUUUACUGCUGAACAGCGAAUAACCUGGAAAGCACCCUAGAGGUUUUCAUGGUGGAGAUGGAAUUCCAGUGCCUCAACCUUUUGCACCAACUAUCCUAAUGUCCACUAGGGGCAUUGGGAGUAGAGGUAGUGAGUGAGGGUCUCCUUACCUGUCCCUGCUUGCCUCUGCUCUAUGACCCCUGCCUUGACUCCUCAAGCACUUCCUGUAGGGAGCCAGGCCUAUUCCUUUCCUCCGGAAGGUGGGAACAUCUCUCUCUCUCUCUCCCUACCUGUCCAUUAUGUAGCUGAUAGAUAGGAUAGGUCUUUCCUAUCUCAAAUGUACUUCACCAAUAAACCUAUUUAGUUUCAACUCUA